UGUUUUGUACAUGUUAUACAUGUAUGGCUUAUCUAACAUUUGAUAUUGUACAGAAAUUAUCUUUUUUUAAUGUAAUAUAUUUAUUUUGUAUAUAAAGACAUUUAUUGAAUGAGUUAAAUUUAAAUGUACAAUGUACAAUAUAUAGUGCUGAUUUAAGUUUGGUACCUUAUUUGAUAGUUGACAUAUUGAUAAGCAUAAUUUCAAAACAUCCCGGACAGCAGAGGCGGAUUUAGUGUUUAACAGGGGACCUGCUCUUCCCUCUUUUUGUUGGAAACAAAUGUUGAUUAUUUAGGGCAUCACUGAAGCGUGAAUGGAGCCGCAUCAUCUUAGGCUGUCAGUACCCACCACACGCCCUAUCCCCACCACAUGAAAAUUUCUGGAUAUGCCACUAUAUACUUCAGUAAAAAUUAGAGGAGAUGUAGGGAAAACAGACAUGCGACUCUUAAACAAAAAAAAUUUGAAGUAGUUUUUUUCUUUGUGUGAAAGAUUGCUAUGGGCAAAGUUUUCAUUUAACAUGUUUAAUAAAAGAAUAAAAGUUACACUUUUGAUUUUUAAAGUAUUAUUUGCUAUUUAGCAUUUCCUGAAAAAGCAAUAAUUUUGACUUAUAUUUUUUGUCCAUGUAUCUAUAAGUUCAGGUUUCUGAAUUUACAGUACUUCAUAUACAUAUUUUAAGCAAUCAUGCAGGAUCAACAUGUCCUGUAGAUAUGUUUCCAAUGACACAAUUUGAGCAAAAGAUACUGCCCCUAGAUUCCUUGCACAAAUUUCUUCAUAAAUUAGCGGAAUUCAACUGUAAUCUAGACUGACUACUAGACUUCAAAAAAAGUUGUUUUCUGAAUAAUUUUUAUUCCUUUUAGCCUUGCUUGGUUAAUUACUUCGAUAUAGCUGUAAAAAAAUGAAGUAGUAGUUUAUAUUAGAACAAUUUGUUUAAGAGAGAAGAGAAAUUUUUGCCUCGAAAGCAUAAAUAAUACACAAUUUUGUCAACUUAAAAAGCCAACUGUUUUGUGUACAUUUCUACUGAGGACUUCAUCCUUUGUUUUACAAACAUGACAAAUAUGUUACACUUGCAUAAUUGUUAAACAAUCUACACUGAUAUGGUACUUUUUAUUUUUUGGUUAAUUACACUGAUCAGAACAAUAGAAUUAGAUCAAAAAUACUUGCCGACA
rnacentral:lncRNA from 1 species